GCAACAUAUUUUUUUGGAAUAAUUUGCUAAAUGAAUAUGUUAAAUUGCAGCAUGCAUUUACUUGUUUAAUAUAUAUGUAAUUAAUCCUUUGAAUAAUAUGUUCAGCUAAUAUUUUUUAAAAUCUUGGCACAUAAAAAAUAAUAAGAAAUCUCUCGAAAUUCGUAUCAUUGCAAAUAUUUAGAAGCUUCGCUCUACUCAAGUAAAACUUAACGUUAUCGUAGCUUUCACAGUUAUAUUUGUUUUUAGGCGACUGGUAAAAGAAACUACAAGCAUACAAUUGUGCAAUUGCCGAGAUCACAUUUUUUGGUACCACAGCGGCAGUUUUGCCAAGAAAGUCCAGUUAGCAGAUUGCUUAUUAUGACUCCAAAACUUUAUUAAUUUCAACGGGAUUCAUCCCACACCUGAAGGGUUAAUCAACUCAGUUGUUGAAUGGUGCUUGAAAGUGAAACUACAAGAGAUUAAAGAAGGCAACAUGAAUCUCAUUAUACGCCUGUUCUAUAUAAGGUCUCUUCAUUGCAACAACGAGAAUUUGAGAUGUGGAAGUAUGGUGAUUGAGUGACUGAGUCCAUAACACUUAAUGAC